rnacentral:rRNA from 1 species
AACGUAGGAGGCGAGCGUUAUCCGGAUUCACUGGGCGUAAAGCGCGUGCAGGUGGGCGCGGUAAGUUAGGCGUGAAAUCUCCCGGCUCAACUGGGAGAGGUCGUCUAAUACUACCGUGCUUGAGAGCAGAAGAGGAAGAUGGAAUUCCCGGUGUAGUGGUGAAAUGCGUAGAGAUGUGGAGGAACACCAGUGGCGAAGGCGAC